GAAGCUUAAAUGUUUGUUGGUUAGAGCGUGGUGCUGGUAAUGCCAAAGUUGCAGGUUUGAUUCCUGUAUGGGACA